AUGGCUGCACAGGGAGAGCCCCAGGUCCAGUUCAAACUUGUAUUGGUUGGUGAUGGUGGUAUUGGAAAAACGACCUUCGUGUAACGUCAUUUGACUGGUGAAUUUGAGAAGAAGUAUGUAGCCACCUUGGGUGUUGAGGUUCAUCCCCUAGUGUGCCACACCAACAGAGGACCUAUUAAGUUCAAUGUAUGGGACACAGCCGGCCAGGAGAAAUUCGGUGGACUGAGAGAUGGCUAUUAUAUCCAAGCCCAGUGUGCCAUCAUAGUGUUUGAUGUAACAUCGAGAGUUACUUACAGGAAUGUGCCUAACUGGCAUAGAGAUCUGGUACGAGUGUGUGAAAACAUCCCCAUUGUGUUGUGUGGCAACAAAGUGGAUAUUAAAGACAGGAAAGUGAAGGCGAAAUCCAUUGUCUUCCACCGAAAGAAGAAUCUUCAGUACUACGACAUUUCUGCCAAAAGUAACUACAACUUUGAAAAGCCUUUCCUCUGGCUUGCUAGGAAGCUCACUGGAGACCCUAACUUGGAAUUUGUUGCCAUGCCUGCUCUCGCCCCACCGGAAGUUGUCAUGGACCCAGCUUUGGCAGCACAGUAUGAGCACGACUUAGAGGUUGCUCAGACAACUGCUCUCCCGGACGAGGAUGAUGACCUGUGAGAGUGAAGAUGGAGCCCAGCGUCAGAAAUCUAGUUUU